GACGGAGGGCGCAAGCGUUGUUCGGAAUUACUGGGCGUAAAGCGCGGGCAGGUGGUCUGUUAAGUCGUUUGUGAAAAUCCGGGGCUCAACCCCGUGAAAUGCAGACGAUACUGGCAGGCUGGAGAUCGGUAGAGGCUAGCGGAAUUCCUGGUGUAGCGGUGGAAUGCGUAGAUAUCAGGAAGAACACCAGUGGCGAAGGCGGCUAGCUGGGCCGAGUCUGACACUCAUCCGCGAAAGCGUGGGGAGCAAACAGG
rnacentral:rRNA from 1 species